CAUGCACCCCGACGGGCUGGGGACCAAACCCGCAACCCAGAACAGUCCACUUAAAGGAGUCAGUCCAGGACAAAAACUGGCCACUCUCUUUGGCAUUGAGUCUGGUAUGCAGAACUGGUGCGUGGGAAGGUGGAAGCUUCUCAGUGGCAAGGACGAUAUCUUCAUACGUGGUCAGUGUCUGCUGCUGAGAGCUUUGGAGUGAGCUGUGAUGGUGGAGAAUCUGAACCUGCUCUCUCGGCUGAACCACCCUGCAGGGACUCCACUCUGCCAAAGCCCAAAAGGGGCUGCUCCCCGAAUCUAAGGAUCUGACUUGGGGCACAACAAAGAGCAUGAGCCUCCUGAGCAAGAGGUUGGCUGAGCUGUUGCCACAGCACUCCAACUUCUUAAGUAAGAGACGCUGCAGAGGCACCCAGUGCAUCGCCCCAGGAAGAACUCGGGAGGAAGAAGCCCAACAUGCUGUGAUGAAGGGCUGUGUCCACAGAAAGGCAUCGCUAAGCAAGAAUUUAGGGCCUGCAGAGCCUUCAGCAUGGAGAAUCUUCACUCAGCCUCCUCAGCAGUCACUGAGCUCCGCUAACCACGCCAACGCUUGGUGGUGAAGGCCCGGACGCAGGCACCUGUGAAACCAGGCCCUUUCCCUCCUUUGCUCUCACCGUUCCAGUGAUAGAAAUCUGUAAUCUACAAUGCCGCCACGUCAGCAUGCUGUGCCUUUCAUGGCGGAGAGUGUUUACUAAAGGAGAAAUUUGUGUCUGUUCUUACUCAAGGAUUCUGAUAUUGGGGUAACACUGUCUUUACUUUGGGAAUUAGGUUUAUUCAAAGAGCCACUUAGCAUUCUGGUUGCUAUGGGACAUUUUCGUCCAUGAAUCAUAAACAACCCCUGAAAGCAACAGGAAAGUCUCAGCAUUUAAAGACAAAUUAAUAUAAAUGUAAUAUUUUAGUUAGAAACCUCUACUUUUACCAAAAUGAUUCUAAUAGAACUCAGUCCUCUAAAUAACUAACAGCCCUGUGAUGGAUUUUGAUGGCAUGUGUUUCAUAUUGAAGACUAGAAAGAGGGUAUCUUUCAGAGCCUUGGAGCCCUCAGAGUGAGGGAGCCACAUCUCUAGAUGCCCUGCCUGCAGAGACUCCUCGCUGCCACGCAGCCCUACUCAACCUCAGUCCACAGGAUCUGGAAAUUAUAAGUAUGAGCCUUGAGUAUUAUUGGGAUUUGGAAAGUACAGAGAAGUAGAGAAACAUCAAGGAAAAUCACCCACAAUCCCAGCACCAGAGAGCCAGUGACACACCUGACAAAGGGCAUCGAAACAUCCAGUUCACAGCCUGACUCCCAACAGUACGGAAUCUACGGAUUCAUAUUCAAAUGAUGACCACAAAUGAGAGACAAAGUCCUAAGGGAAAUGGGACAAAGCUGGGGAGCUAUUUCGGAAUUGUACUAAACCACUAGAACCUCUGAGAGCCGCCAGGAAUUCGUGACAUCCCGGGAGCCGCCACAGCUGGACACUGAUGGAGACUUGAAUGGGAGCCAGAGCAAAGUCCUGCUCCUUCUCGCAGGCCUGCAGCUGGACCAGCACCUGGUGGAGCUGAGUAAGGGGGAACACCUCAUCCGCCUGGCACCACACAGCACAGCUCUGCACCCGGGGCCCCUGCAGGCUCCUCGUUUGCUGGCCGGCUGGGCCUGGGAACACCAUGGCUCCACUUCAGGGCUUAUCCAACUUCGGAAAAUGACACCAACAACAUCGGUACAUGUCAACUGGAUUGAUUCUGAAGGAAAAACCAUGGCUGACUACAGGUAACUGAAACUGCAGAAAGCAAGGGGGAGACUCCUGGACCUGUUCACACCCCUGGCCAGCCUGGAGAACCAGGGAGGGGGACGGAACUGAGUGCUGGAGAAGCAUGCCCAACAGCCACUCCGAGUCUGCAGGGACCAACAGCCGAAUCAGCCAAAGGGGCUGCUCACGCUGCAGGCGUCUUUGUGCAAUAGGGGCCCUCCCUUCCGGGACCGACCGCAUCAAAGUGAGCCCAUGCACCCGCAGUGGCAGGAGCGCCUCAGUGUACCCGGAACCUGCCAGGGCCCCAGGUUUCACACGCCCCACACAGGAAGAGCACAUUCGUUCAUUCAUUUAGAAACUGCUUCCUGAGCGCCAGCUACCUGCCAGGCACUGCAGAGGCCCUGAGGACCUGCAGAGGACAACCCCCAAGGUUUGGCUUCCACCCUGUCUUCCCCCACCUGUUCCGUGUUCUCAGCAGUGUCCCCCGGACCUCAAUUCUAGGAUUAUGAACAGCCAGGCUGAAACCCCCCUCAGCCCCCCUGCUCACUUCCAGGGAAGAAAGAGCCAAGGACUUGGGGGCUGAGAGCUGCUCCCUCACUCAGGAAACGUAAUUACAAGCGACCGAGGACACAGCCUUUCUCUGCCAUCAGAGCCAGGGAUGCUCGAUAGCCCUGGAGUGACACUCCGAGGCUGGCUGAAUGCCACAGCAUGCGGCCGAGAGCAGCGCUCCCCUGGAGGAGGAGCGGCAGGCGGCUCUGCAGAGGGGAGGUUGUGGGGGACACGCACGGUCUGUGGGCGCGCAUUCUUGGUGGACGGGUCUCAGCCUAGAGCCCGCACUGACAUCGGGACCGCACAGUGGGGCAGUAGCAGGGCCACCCAGUGCCCUCCUUUGUGCACCUUUCAUGUCAUGCCCUAGACGUGUGUCCGCCUGGACUCAUGGACCUGAGUCUGAUUACUCAGCCACAGACAUCCGUGUCCCUGAGCAACGGCUGUGGCCGUAGGUCCUCAUGGUGACAGAUGGGGUUGCUCCAUAAACCCCAAGGCUCUGAAAUAAAAAGCUGGAGAAAAAGA